AACGCCCCAAAACCCAAAUGUUUAUAUCGUCGUAUGUUCCUAUAGGACAUAACAUGAGAUAAAUAACUAGGCUAUUGAACCUAGUUAAAAGGUGUAGCUAAGAUUAAUAAAGGUAGUGUCAGUUAUGUUUUAAAAGGCAAACCCGAGGGACUAGAGUGGAACAAAUGAAAGUUGACUACUAAUUAAAAGGUCAAUACACACACAAACACACACAUACGUGCGUGUUCUUGAAGCUUCAGGAGCUCUCAAGAGCUCCAAACCCUAGUUCCACUAAAUCAUCAAAUUAAAGGGGUGAAUCGAAGCCCAAAUUCAAGAAGGAGCACGGAUUAACGAUCACCUUCAUGAGGGGAUCAUAAGGAAUCACAUUAGCAUGGAUUCAAGCAUGAAAGGCUAACGAGUCAAGAGGAGACAAGGAAGCGGCUACGAACACGGAUGCACAAGGUUAUACGGAUAACGGGCGGAUUAUCACAAGAAUUAGAGAUCGAAGACCGAGUCACGAGAUAGAUUGUACGGGAAUAAUUAAGUAUGUACUACUAGUAAACAUGACUUAUAUUUUAUCUUUGUAAAAGAUACAUUUUAAAACGAACUUUCAAGUAAGUCAAGACGUUUGUAAUGAAAGAAAUUUUAUGGCACG